rnacentral:rRNA from 1 species
CCCUUAGAUGUUCUGGGCCGCACGCGCGUUACAAUGAAUCGUUCAACAGGUUUCUUCCUGAGUCGAAAGGCUUGGGUAAUCCUUUAAAUACGGUUCGUGCUAGGGAUAGAUUUUUGCAAUUAUUAAUCUUGAACGAGGAAUAUUUAGUAAACGCAGGUCAUCCGCCUGCAUUGAUUACGUCCCUGCCCUUUGUACACACCGCCCGUCGCACCUACCGAUUGAAUGGUCCGGUGAAAUCUUCGGAUUGAGACUUUGAUUUCUUCACGGAAAACGUUGUUUUAUAAAGUUGAUUAAACCUUACCAUUUAGAGGAAGGUGAAGUCGUAACA